UGCAAUUUCUUUAAAGGUGUCUAACCACACUUGGCAUUUACGCCAAUUACUUAUUUUACUGCACCGAAGCUUCGUCGAUCGGAGAUUUGUUUAGCGUCACAUUAUUACCGCUAAUAUUUGACUGGCUGCAUUAAUUGCUGUAACCAUUCCCGCUCUGUACAUGUUUGGGGCGUCUUCUGCAUCCAACGGGAUUUCACUUAAUUUUGGGGUUAUGUUGAUGCUCACCAAUACGAACGUGUGGAGGUAUAUGGUGAACACAGCCUCAUGAUGUCAACUGAGGAACAACUUGAAUGAGAUGUAGCAGCUCCCACGUAUGGAAAGUCAUUAAAUCGGCCGGUAGAGCAGUGUGAUGGCCAGAUGCCCCUCGAUUCAGCCGGUCAACAUCCAUUGGACCUUCAGGGCCUCGAAGAAUAGCUCAAGCAAAUAGUAUUUUAUGUCCCUACACCAGCUAUUUCAAGGCAGACAGACCAUCUAUCACUGCUGUAUACUGACCGUGUAUGGUGAUGAAGUUCCAGAUUAAUGUUGAUUUCCACUGGGAUUAAAUCACACUACAUAAUUUGUUUGACAUUUUGAAUGACAAUCAUGGUGCAAUACUCAUCUUGGUUUUGAUGUUAUAUAAAUCUAAUACUUAAAUAAGAUUUUCAUUUUUCUGAUAUGCAAAUAUAACUUCUAGAAGAGAUUUGCAAAAAUUGUUUCGAUGCUUGUGUUACAUGUACAUAGAAAUGUGAGAGACAAAUUUGAAAAGAUGGAACCCCUUUGAAUAAAUUGUCAGUAAAUGAAACUUACAUAUGACUUGAAUAAACUCCACUUAAUAGCUGUAAUAUAAACACUGCUAAAUAGUUACUGUUACUGUGUGAAAUUUGCAACUCAUUAUGAAUAUACUAAUACACUAGUAUAAUCCCCAGGUUCAGGAGACACUGUUGGUCACAACUAAAAUAAAAGUUGAAUAAUUGUGGAUAAUAAACUGGAGCACAAAUCACGAAAAA